CGGAGGAAAAGAAACUAACAAGGAUUCCCCUAGUAGCGGCGAGCGAAGCGGGAAAAGCCCAAUAUGAAAAGCCUGCUUGCGGGCGUUGUAUUUGGAAGUCUCUGGGGUGUCAGUGCGUGUAAGUUGUAUGGAAAUACACGCCGUGGAGGGUGAGAGCCCCGUCCGACGCGCACAGGACACUCCGUACGAGGCUUUCCUAAUGAGUCGGGUAGCUUGGGAAUGCUGCUCUAAUUGGUGGUAAAUCUCAUCAAAGGCUAAAUAUUGACCGGAGACCGAUAGCGAACAAGUACCGUGAGGGAAAGAUGACAAGCACUUUGAAAAGAGGGUGAAAAGAGCCUGAAACCGUCAUGGGGGAAGCGGAUUGCGUUGUAUUGGUGGGUUGCCGUGUGUUCAGCCGUUCUGGUGUACUGGCACGGUAGCUUAUCUGUCGUGGGUUUCGAAGGGCUGAUUUUGAGCUGUUCGGGGCUGAGGGCUCCCCGUAUGGGUGAGGACGACAGAGUGAUGACGCGAUACGACCCGUCUUGAAACACGGACCAAGGAGUCUAGCGCGGUUGCGAGUCGAAGGGUGCAAGCCUGAGGGCGUAGUGAAAGCGAGUUUAAAACGAACAGUUUGGGGCGGCAUAGGAUCGUUGAUUCUAAGUCUGACCUUGAGCAAUUGCGCUGGGACCCGAAAGAUGGUGAACUAUGCCGGAGUAGGGCAAAGCCAGAGGAAACUCUGGUGGAGGCUCGUAGCGGUGCUGACGUGCAAAUCGCUCGUCGAACUUGGGUAUAGGGGCGAAAGACUAAUCGAACCAUCUAGUAGCUGGUUCCCUCCGAAGUUUCUCUCAGGAUAGCGGGCCGACAUGGGUUGUUUUGUGCGGUAAAGCGAAUGAUUAGCGCAAUCAGGGGCAAUUUGUCUUUGGGCGAUUCUCAAACUUUCAAUGCGCAAGGGUGCCGCUGCUUGGUUGAGCGGCACCGGCAAAAACGUCGGCCCUGUGGGCCACUUUUGGUAAGCAGAACUGGCGAUACGGGAUGAACCGUAAGCGUGGUUAAGGCGCCUAACUGCCCGCUUAGAGACCCCACAAAAGGUGUUGAUUCAUCGAGACAGCAGGACGGUGGCCAUGGAAGUCGGAAUCCGCUAAGGAGUGUGUAACAACUCACCUGCCGAAUGAAUUAGCCCUGAAAAUGGAUGGCGCUGAAGCGGGUGGCCGACACCACGCCGUCUGGUAAAGAAUUAUGAUCAGAUGAGUAGGAGGGCGUGGCGGUUGUAUCGAAGGGUAUGUGCAGACAUGCCUGGAACGGCCGCUAGUGCAGAUCUUGGUGGUAGUAGCAAGUAUUCAAGCGAGAUCCUUGAAGGGCGAAGCGGGGAAGGGUUCCACGCGAACAUUGAUUGGGCGUGGGUGAGUCGUUCCUAAGUCGAGUGGCAAUUGCUAAGUAGCGGCGAAAGGGAAGCUGGUUGACAUUCCAGCACACGGAUGUGGAGGCGGUGACGCGUAUUGGGACGAACACGCUGGCGGUGGCGCUGGGCAGAGUUGUCUUUUCUGUUUGACUUUGCGCGCGCGGUGUGGAAUCCGCUUGUCGGGAGAUACACGCGUGUCGAGGCAGAGCGCCGGGGCUUUUCCGGCGUCCAGCUCGCCACCGACGGCCCUUGAAACUUUGUCUGCUUAAUAAAUCCACGCCGUGGCGUACCGAUCACCGCAUCAGGUCCCCAAGGUGAACAGCCUCUGCUCUAUAUGAACAAUGCAGGUAAGGGAAGUCGGCAAAUUAGACCCGUAACUUUGGGAUAAGGGUUGGCUCUAGUGCUGCGUGGGAGUGGUUGCCCACGGUUGGGGGGGUUGGCGAGGCCGGCUGGGACGGGUCCCCCGGGACUGGUACCGGCUGCUGAGCGAAUGUUUCUGCUGUGGGCGACGCCCACGGCAUGCAGCAGACUAGAACUGCAACGGGCAAAGGGAAUCCGACUGUUUAAUUAAAACAAAGCAUUGCGAGGGCCGUGGCCGGUGAUGACGCAAU
rnacentral:rRNA from 1 species